CCUACGGGAGGCUGCAGUGAGGAAUAUUGGUCAAUGGGCGCGAGCCUGAACCAGCCAAGUAGCGUGAAGGAUGACUGCCCUACGGGUUGUAAACUUCUUUUAUAAAGGAAUAAAGUGCGGUACGUGUGCUUUUUUGUAUGUACUUUAUGAAUAAGGAUCGGCUAACUCCGUGCCAGCAGCCGCGGUAAUACGGAGGAUCCGAGCGUUAUCCGGAUUUAUUGGGUUUAAAGGGUGCGUAGGCGGACUGUUAAGUCAGCGGUAAAAGCCCGGGGCUCAACCUCGGAGGGCCGUUGAAACUGGCAGUCUUGAGAUGACGAGAGGUAGGCGGAAUGCGUGGUGUAGCGGUGAAAUGCUUAGAUAUUGCGAAGAACUCCGAUUGCGAAGGCAGCAUGCCGGCGGGGAUCUGACGCUGAGGCACGAAAGCGUGGGUAUCGAACAGGAUUAGAUACCCGGGUAGUC
rnacentral:rRNA from 1 species